AAACUUUCAACAACGGAUCUCUUGGUUCUGGCAUCGAUGAAGAACGCAGCGAAAUGCGAUAAGUAAUGUGAAUUGCAGAAUUCAGUGAAUCAUCGAAUCUUUGAACGCACAUUGCGCCCUUUGGUAUUCCGAAGGGCAUGCCUGUCCGAGCGUCAUUU
rnacentral:rRNA from 2 species